AUUGCUUGUAAUAUAGUAUUAGAAGCAAAAGUUAUAUCAUACAUGAGAAAUAAAAAAACAGGCUAUUAACCAAAAACACAGAGGAUACACUUUUUAUAUUCUAAAUAAAACAUGGAGUACCAUUUAUGAGAAGAAUUUAAAUGACUAAAAUAUUCCUACUUAGUAUUGUAGUAAGUUUGUUAGCUUUUAGAACCCAAUAACCCACGUGCAACUCCAAUUAUUACAAAACCCACAUCCUCA
rnacentral:lncRNA from 1 species